rnacentral:tRNA from 1 species
UACUAAUAGGGCUGCUAUUGCAGGCUACUUUGAUAUAGUAGACUUAGAAUAAUUAAUUCCGUUAGUAU